UUUCCUUUUCAUUCCCUUCCAGCUGCCAGAUGGAGGGGUGCUGAUCCUUCUCCAGUACAAGUAACGUGCUGUUCAUGCUUUAUUUUGCACCUAGAAAAUGAUGAACAUGAACAAGCGCUUGCUCAAGCAGAAGGGUGAGGGGGAAAGGUAGCAGGAUGGCAAAGAAGUGGAGCUAGAACCAUGCGGGAAGUGUUUGACCCAGUUCAUUUGCUAACUCUUACAGGAAAUCUGAGCCAGUCAGGAUGCAAGGUGCCAACAAGAAAGUAAUGGAAAUACAGUCAGAGAAUUCUCAUAGGGAAAGGAAAAGAACUGUUAUUGCUUUUCAUAACCUUUAGCAAUUCAGCAAAGCUUGGGGUAAUUUCUGUUAGGAGAAGGAAUUCAUGUUGAAGUCAGACAUCUCUUUAGGUUCUGUCCUAUUUAAGGAACAUAUAAAAUUCCAUUUUCCUGAUCACCAUGUGAAGCAAACAGCAGCAUAUUGCAAGAGAAGGAGGGGUUGAGGAGGUGACGCAUUGUGCCAUGGCAUAACCCAAAUGCAUCCUUGAAGUUUUGCUCGGGCCAAUAUUCCCAGUGCCUGUUUUUUGACUCUGCAGUUUUCUGUUGCUUCCUAUUUCUCUGAUGUUUUCCCCCUUUCUCUCUGUCUUUGUCUAUAUCUGGGGGAGGAGGGUGGUCCUCAUUGCUUCAGAUAACUUGUUGCAUAAAGGAGAUUAAUGACUUCUUACUGUUAUUUUAAAUGAAGGGUAUUGGUUAUGCCCACAUGGAUCAGUGAAGUUUUCCCUCCGUCCGUAACCAAUUGCUUUGUUUUGUCUCUGAUGGUAUGACAAUGAAGACAGCACAAAUGAGAUCAGCCCAUCCACAGCAAGCAGGUGCAGUGCACAUAGGAAAAUGGGGAUUGCAGCAAAAUCAACAGAGACAAAAUACAGAGGCAGCUGAAAUGAAAUGCAAGAAAACUCAUCACAAAUCUUCUGUGUUUAGGAUAAAAGAAAAGAGAAUAUUUAUCGGUGUAUGGCUGAUGCUGGAAAGGGUAUUCCUGGACAACCAGAAAAAAUGCUAAUCUGCUGAUAACAAUAAUGUCUACAUUACUUUCCAAUGCUAAUCUUUCAAGCUCAGCAGAAAAGUGGGCACUAGUAAAUAAUUUCAGUUCAGAAUUUGGAUUUUCAAAUGGUUUCCUGGGCUAAAAAUCAAUGCCAACAGUUAUCUGCAACUUAAAAUCUACUUUGCAGUGGUCCUGACCCUGCAAAUAUUAAGUAUGUGAGUGAUUUUUUUUUUAAUGAACACUGAGUCCUCAGGGCAGCAAGGACUGUGGUCAGGUAGAUAGAGAUAAUAUUUUAAUUUAUUUUUCUUUCCUUAGUGGCUUUUUCAAAGUUACAGUAGUGACCUUAUAUAUUGGAUGAGGUUUUAUAUAUUAAAAAUACCACCAGUCUUUUCUCUGAGAUGAACCAGUUUGCUUUGGGCUGCAUAGUUCUCCAAAGGCAGCUCAGACCCAGACUGUGGCUGGCCUGGUGGGAGGAGUGAGCUAUCAGGAGUCACUUUCCCCAUUCCCAGCACACUCAUUGCAAAGUAUGUAGAGACCCCAGUGUAUCACAUUGUACAACAGCCUUGUCAGGCAGAAAUGAGAACAUUGGGGUCCUUGACUGUCUUGUUUCCAAUAGUGAAGGCAUUACUAGCUGUUUCUUUUUAGAGAUGUAGCAAACACUGCUGCCAAGCACACACUGCCUAUAGUAGGUACUGUAUUAUGUCUCUUGCAUAGAAGUCAUGGGCUUGAGGUACUCAGCCUAUGGGCACUGUAGCUCUUAAGCUAGAUUAUGGCUCUUAUCAUGCUGUUUCAUAAACAGUGUAUUUUUGACUUCAGGUAGGUAUUUAAGUUCUAGGUACAUUUAAAAACAAUCCUUAUUUUUUUAUGACAGUGGCCUUUAGAAAAAGCAAGAAAAGGACCCUAAAAAAUUGUGUUACAGACCCAUGAUUAUUCCUAAAUAGGCAUUUUUCCCCCUCAUGGAACACUUUAGACAUGCUCUUAAGUGGAACAUUGGGAAUGCACUAUAUUAUAUGAUCAAAGAAAAUUCUGAGGAAAUAAAAUUAACAACAUUGUUCUCACCUUGUAAUAUACUAAUAAACUAGCUUCAGCCAAAUCACUGCUUAAGGUAGGUUGUGUUUCUUAGAACUUCAUAAAGAACUCUACAAAACCCGAAAAAAGAGAAGAAAUAUUCCACCCCUGGCCUCUUCCAGCGCUCUGUUGAAGAGGGAAUGAUUCAGAAGUAAAGCAUCACUUAAGUGGAGCUGUGAUUGGAAACCAGCUGUCCAGCUUAAAAGCCAAGUCUCCAGUGAUUUAUGAACCAUGGGUUGCACUGGUGAGCACUGGAAGGCUCUGUCAGCAGGGAACAACAUGCAGUAUACAAAAGUGAGAAUUGUCCAUUGUUUUUAAAUAUUCUUACAUAAACUGGGCCACAUCCCAUGCUUCGGUGGGUCUGUUACAUUCUUAAAUAUAUCUAAAGUUGUAUCUUCACUGAAUGUAAUGCUGUUAAGCAUUCCAUGGGAUGUCAACUUUCUGAAUUAGUUGUUAACAUCCACCUUUUUCCAGAUAUCAGAAUGAAAAAAAAGCUACUUAACAUCAGGAGCUAUUUACAUGGUAUCAGUGCCAUCAUUCAGAUUUGUUUUCAAUGACAAUAAAUGUAAAGAAAAAAUUAUGAAAACGUGCUUUGAUGUUGACAUGGAGAAAGUGGCUUCCAUCUUACCUGUUUCCAUUUCAGACCUGCUGCACAAAUAAAAGUAAUGUCAUUUUUUGUGUG